rfam:Ferrimonas balearica DSM 9799, complete genome.
GGAGUUGGCCAGGCAAUCGCUGCCUUGUCGUUGUGCCGGAGCCUUCGGGCGCUGGCAGACGGGCGAGGGGGAGGAAAGUCCGGGCUCCAUAGGGCAGGGUGCCAGGUAACACCUGGGAGGCGUGAGCCUACGACCAGUGCAGCAGAGAGCAGACCGCCGAUGGCCCCUCGGGGCACAGGUAAGGGUGAAAGGGUGCGGUAAGAGCGCACCGCGCGACUGGUAACAGUUCGUGGCACGGUAAACUCCACCCGGAGCAAGACCAAAUAGGCCCCCAUUGGCGUGGCCCGCGUUGGGGGCGGGUAGGUUGCUGGAGCCUGGGAGCGAUCCCAGGCCUAGAGGAAUGGUUGUCCACGACAGAACCCGGCUUAUCGGCCAACUCCAACC